GUGGGGAAUAUUGCACAAUGGGGGAAACCCUGAUGCAGCGACGCCGCGUGAGCGAUGAAGUAUUUCGGUAUGUAAAGCUCUAUCAGCAGGGAAGAAAAUGACGGUACCUGACUAAGAAGCCCCGGCUAACUACGUGCCAGCAGCCGCGGUAAUACGUAGGGGGCAAGCGUUAUCCGGAUUUACUGGGUGUAAAGGGAGCGUAGACGGUUUAGCAAGCCAGAUGUGAAAACCCGGGGCUCAACCCCGGGACUGCAUUUGGAACUGUUUGACUAGAGUGUCGGAGAGGCAAGUGGAAUUCCUAGUGUAGCGGUGAAAUGCGUAGAUAUUAGGAGGAACACCAGUGGCGAAGGCGGCUUGCUGGACGAUGACUGACGUUGAGGCUCGAAAGCGUGGGGAGCAAACAGGAUUAGAUACCCUUGUAGUCC
rnacentral:rRNA from 1 species